AACCGGAUUAGUACCCAGAGAGCUCCCUUGCUCUUCCACCAUGUGAGGACGCAGCGAGAAUGCGCUAUGGCCCCACUACGCAUCUAUGAACCAGGAAGUGAGUCCUCACCAGACACAGUGUCUGCUGGUGCCUUGAUCGUAGGGUUCCAGCCUCCAGAACUGAACUGAAUGUGACAUAGUGAACAGGAAUUAGAAGAAAACCAGUACUCAGGAGAGUGGAGUUCUAACUGCAGCUGUAAGCAGGCAUUUAUGUUGUCGUGAACUACACACUGAGUACUGGGUUGUUGGAUAUUGUGUGGACACUUGAAGAAGAAUGAAGAAUUUAGCCAUGAUGGAUUUAUACUAAGAUUGAAAGAAUCUUUAUGUUUCUAGAACUGGAAAGGAUCACAGAAGUCUUUGAUUGAUGACUCCACUCUUCAAGCUUGCCUUUUCUUAAUGGUAGUACUCCCAUCUUAUCUAAGAAGAAAUUGAUACAUCGACAGCUUUUGUUGGCUCUGCCGUAAACUGACUGCAUGUGACAUUGGCUAAGUCACUUAAUUUAUUCUGUGCUUCUGUUUCCUAUUUCAUAAAACAAGUGUGGAACGAGAAUAUUUCUGAGGUUCUCUCUAGCCAGAAUAGUUAAUAAGAGACUGGCCCAAGUUCACCCAGUUAAUUAGUAACAGUGUUGGACUGGAGCUUGGGUUGCUUCCCACGCUGCUGCCUUCAUUUGCGAUAUAAUUAUUCUCGAUUUCUUAAAUCUAAUUUUUAAAAUUAGGUAUUCCAUUUACAUGCUUCAAAAUUUAAAAGUAUAAAAGGAUAUACUGUUAAAAAACCUCCCUGUCACCCUGAACAAGCAAUGCAUGUUCUAAAGCUUUUAAAAAUAUCUAUGAGCACAUUUUUAUGUGUUGUGUAUAUGUGUAUGUGUGUUUUCUUUCUCUCCUUUUUAAAGUGAAUUAUACACUGCAGCUUUCUUUUUUUUUCUGCUGAUAGAAAUGGAGGCUAAAAUUACAUGGCAAUUCAUUUUUUCUAUUAUUAUGUUUGUAGUUGAGGAUUUUGUAUGGCACUAAAAACCGUUUGUCUUCUGUUGAAUUAUUUGUUCAUAUUGUUUUCCUCUUUUUUUUUUUCUAUUGGGUUGCUGGCAUUGUAGCUAUACGCUACUUAUCUAUUACAGAAAUUAACUUUAUGAGAUCUCACAAUCUUCCCCCAGUUUGCCUUCUGUCUUUUGAGUUUGCUUAUUGUGGUUUUGUUUGAAGAGUUCUGACGUGUUUGUGGUUGAAUUCAUCAGUCUGUUAUCAUGUCUGGCAUUUGGGUCAUAGUUGAAAGGACUUUUCCCCCUUAGUAUUAACAGAAGAAUGAUCCCGUGGUUUCUUUAAUUUAUCACUGAAGUCUACAUAUUUAUAUAUAUUUAAAUAUUUGAUCAAUUGGGAAGUUAUCCUGGCAUAAGGUGUGAGACAUAGAACCAAAUAUAUUCUUCCAGAAGGCAGCUCAUUUCUCUCAAAACUAUUACAUAAUCCCUUUCUUCUCUUCUGACCUGGGUUGCCACUUACAACAUACACUAAAUUUCCAUAUGGGAUGUUCUAUUUCUGAAUUUUCUACUACGUUCCAUUGAUCUUUCUUUCUACUUAAGUUAAAUAUUAAGGUUUUUUUAUGUUUCAGCAUGUUACAUGCAGGACUAGCCUUCCUUCAUUACUGUUUUAAUAUCUUCAGAAUUCUUCCAACAUUUUAUUAUACAAAUUUUUAAGCAUAUGGAAAUGUUGAAAGAAUUUUACAGUGAACACCCAUUACACACUACCUGUAUCUAUCCAUCUAUUUGGCCCUCUGUAUACUAAUCCAUCUCAGUUUCUGAUGUGUUUCGAAGUAAAUUGGAGAUACCGGUGAACAUUCCACUAAAUACUUCAGCAUGCACAUCAUGAAGUAAAGUUUAGUAUUUACAGCACUUUUUAUUUUCAGCUAAAUUUUACAUGCAAUGAAAUGCACAAAUCUUAAAUGAACGUUCACUGGGUUUGGACAAAAGCAUAAGCUUAUGUAAUGCUUAGCAAAACACAGAAUAUUAACAUCACCCCAGAAGGUUUCCUCAUACCUCUUGCCAGUUAAUCCCCAUGCUCACUCCCUCAGAGCCUACCACUGUUCUAACCCUUUUACCACCAUAGAUGUAGUUAUUUGUUCUAGAACUUUGGUAUGCACUCUUUUUGUGGACACCUUCUUUUGUUCACUAAGCAUAAUAUUUUUGCAACUUCUCCGUGUUGUUGCUUUUUAUUGGUGAGUGCUAUUCCAUUACAUGACUAUACUAUGUUUGGUUUCUCUGUGUUCCUAUUAAUCAAUACCUGGGUUGUUUGCAGGUUUUGGCUCUUAUGAAUGAAGUUGUUAUGAACAUUCUUGCACAGCUUUUUCUUGUGGUCCCUUAUGUUUUGUUUUCCCUUUUCCAUGGCCUGGGAUGGAGCAAAUACCUAUGAGUGGCACUGCUGGGUGAUAUAGUUUGGAUAUGUGUCCCUGCCCAGAUCUCAUACCAAUUUGUAAUCCUCAGUGCUGGAAGUGGGGCCUGGUGGGAGGUGUUUGGAUCAUGGGGGCGAAUCCUCCAUAUCUGGGUGCUGUCUUCAUGAUAGUGAGCAGAUGGAGUUAUUGUCAUGGUGUUUAGGACAAGCUGAUUGUGUUAAAGCAUGUGACACACCUAAUUUCAGAAACCAGAGGGGAAAUCACUGCUUAUUAAAGUUCAAGGAAGACUUUCAUCAAGGAAGGCAGCAUCCAGGGCAGACAGAGUAUUAGGACAGCAGAACAGUGAAGGCAUAUGAAGAAGUGAAGGGGAGGAACUGGGAAACUUGGAGCAUACAAUGAAUGCGAGUACUUCAUUGAGAAACUAUACUUUUCUUGCAUUCCAAGCUGAAUUAUUACUUCCUUUGUUCAUCAGUUUCUUAGAAGUCACUGGGAACUAAUGACAAAAUUGCAUUGUUUAUCAUGGUUAGUUGUCUAUAGUAGUCAGGUGUAUCUUCUGGAAAAUUAUCUACCUAUUUUGCCUUCUAUAUUUCCACUACAUAUACACAACUAAUCAUUUUGAUAUUUUUGUAAAACUUGGAAUUAAAAGAAUUCCUCCACAUUUUCUUAUAGGCAAACGUCUGAACUGAGCAACUACCAUCUGACUAUGUCAUUCAUAAAUCUCGUACCUGGAGUUCGGAAAGCCAGCAGCAGCCUGUUCAUGGGGUAUAGAUUGGUUUAGGUGUAUUCGUGAGAUACCCACAGACUCUUUCUAGAUGAUCCUGAAUAGCAUCCCUGUCCUUGAAGCUCAGCAGGUUACAGAUUUCAACAAAUAUCCUUGUGAUUGUUAUCCAGCAAAUGGAGAGUUUUCCCUUGAAUGUGCUGAUGAAUAGUUCAUUAAAAAAGACAUAUAGUGGCAUUUAAGACAGGCAGUGGCUUUGUAACCUUAUGAUUUGACCAUUACAUUGAGAACAUGAAGAUCUCAUCCCAACUGUACACAUGGCCAAUAGCUUUUCAUUAGCUGUCAGAGCUUUAGGUAGUCUCAUAAUUCUAGUGUAAAGGCAGCAAAGAAACACAAAAAUGCAGUCAAGAAUACCAGUAAUCCAUAAAGAAAACAAAGUCAGAUUAUGAUGCUGUGUGAUUUCAGGCAAUUAGGGUCUUCUUCAGAGCAGGUAGACUAAAUGGCGUGCCUCCCUAGAUUAUGGGUGUCUGGAGAUGUUACAGAUAGAUUCUUAACCAAAUGUGUAAUUCGUUUUCUUGAAAAAGAAAAGAUACGGCACAUGGAGAUGCUAGAAUGCAGGUUUGUAGUUUUCACCGAAUUAUCAAAUAUCCCAUUUGACUUUAAGUCGUAUAUAUCCCAGGAUAUGCCUAGGAAGGUUAACAGCUGGACUCUGUGGGCCAGGGGUUGCAAUGAUUUGAAUCUGGAAAGCAACCCAGAGAAAGCAAUGAUUUGAAUAUGGAAAGUUGGAUUACAAAGCCUGCUCAGCAGACCAACUCUUUCUCUAAAAAUCACAGUUCAGAAAUGUAGUAGUAAGACCAUGACAGGUAGUGAAGUUGUCACUUUUUAUUAUAACUUUAAUUUCAGAUUCAGGGGCACAUGUAUAGGUUUGUUAUAUAAGUAAACUGCUUGUCAUGGCAGUUUGGUAUACAGAUUGUUUCUUCACCCAAGUAAUAAGCAUAGUACCCAAUAGGUUUUUUUUUCUGAUCCUCUCCCUUCUUCCACUUUCUACCCUCUAGAAGACCCUGGGGUCUGUUGUUCACCUCUUUGUGUCCAUGAUACAGGAAUCAGCAGCCAUGAACAUAUAUGGCAAGGCUGUGAUCAAACACAAAGAAGGUCAGGCAGCAAAAGUAUUAGGCAGCCCAGAAUGCAAAGGGAAGGGAGGAUCACAACAUGGCAUAAGUUUCGUGUAUUGCAGCUACCACAGAAAGACCACAGUCAUCCUAUGACUGGACUUGCCUUGGCCCAUCUUGGGUGGCAGAAGAGAGUAAGUAGACUUGGAAUUAUGAUGAGUGUUUUGUAGUCAUUGUCCUUUCAUGCUUUUCUCUGUACAGCAACCACUACAGCUGUCCAUGCUUUUAAGAAAACAUUUUUCAAAAGAAAACCUAAUGGUUAAUAUAUAAAGGUUGACUCUAACUGACGUACCAUUACAAGCAAAAAGCAGAAGCACACUACCUUCCAGUGCUAGAAUACAGUCAUCCCUCAGUGUCCAUGGGGAAUUAGUUCCAAGACCCCCCAGGAUACUAAAAUUCUAAGAUGUUGAAGUCUUGAAGUUCUCCUGAGAAACAUACGGAUAUGAAAAUCUAACCCUCCUUAUCUGUGGGUUCUGCAUCCACCAAAUGUUGUAUUUUUGUCCUCAGUUGGUUGAAUCCAAAGAUGUGGAACCCACUCGAUUGUACUUGGCUAAAUUACUUAAUAAUGGUUUGUGCUUAAUCUUACAUGAUAAUUCCAGACCUGGGGGCUCUGUGGAUUGUUAAUUUAGUGACAAAACAAUAUUACGAUUGAUGUCUCCAAUACUCUAGACUUUUCCCUCAUGGUGACAAGAUGGCUGCUGACAUCCCAUAUAUAGUCAGGUGUCACCUGAAGAUGGGAAUACAUUCUGAUAAAUUCUUUAGGUGAUUUAUUUGUUGUGCAAACAUCAUAGCAUGUACUUAGGAUUCUAGAUG